rnacentral:rRNA from 1 species
UACGUAGGGGGCAAGCGUUGUCCGGAAUCAUUGGGCGUAAAGCGCGUGUAGGCGGCUCGGUAAGUCUGCUGUGAAGGUCCAGGGCUCAACCCUGGGAUGCCGGUGGAUACUGUCGAGCUCGAGUCCGGAAGAGGCGAGUGGAAUUCCUGGUGUAGCGGUGAAAUGCGCAGAUAUCAGGAGGAACACCAAUGGCGAAGGCAGCUCGCUGGGACGUGACUGACGCUGAGACGCGAAAGCGUGGGGAGCAAACAGG